rnacentral:rRNA from 1 species
AUUGAACGCUGGCGGCAUGCCUUACACAUGCAAGUCGAACGGCAGCACGGGGCAACCUGGUGGCGAGUGGCGAACGGGUGAGUAAUGCAUCGGAACGUACCUUUCAGUGGGGGAUAACGUAGCGAAAGUUACGCUAAUACCGCAUAUUCUGUGAGCAGGAAAGCAGGGGAUCGCAAGACCUUGCGCUGAUUGAGCGGCCGAUGUCAGAUUAGCUAGUUGGUGAGGUAAAGGCUCACCAAGGCGACGAUCUGUAGCGGGUCUGAGAGGAUGAUCCGCCACACUGGAACUGGGAACCGGUCCAGACUCCUACGGGAGGCAGAAGUGGGGAAUUUUGGACAAUGGGGGCAACCCUGAUCCAGCCAUGCCGCGUGAGUGAAGAAGGCCUUCGGGUUGUAAAGCUCUUUCGGCCGGGAAGAAAUCGCAUGGGCUAAUACCCUGUGUGGAUGACGGUACCGGAAUAAGAAGCACCGGCUAACUACGUGCCAGCAGCCGCCGUAAUAC